rnacentral:rRNA from 1 species
AACGAACGCUGGCGGCAUGCCUAACACAUGCAAGUCGAACGAGACCUCCGUGUCUAGUUGCUCACGGGUGCGUAACGCGUGGGAACCUUCCCUUAGGUUCCGAAUACCUCUCUUUCAUGGGUGCUAAUACCGGAUAAUUUCUUCUGACCACAGAUUUAUCGACUUUGGAUGGGCCCGCGUUCGAUUAGCUUGUUGGUAGUGUAAAAGCCUACCACGGCUACGAUCCAUAGCUGGUAUGAGAGGAUGAUCAGCGACACUGAGACUGAGACCCGGCCGAGAAUAGUACGGGAGGGAGGAGAGGGGGAUAUAGGAAAAUGGGGGAAGGGAUGAAGCAGCAAGGGUGGGAGAGUGAUGAAGGCGGUAGGGAAGUAAAGCAGGUUUACACGGGGUGAUAAUGACAGUACCGGGAGAAUAAGCACCGGCUAACUCCGUG